CAGGCCUAACACAUGCAAGUCGAACGGGGAAAGCUUUCGGGUGAGUACUAGUGGCGCACGGGUGAGUAACGCGUGGAUAAUCUGCCUUGAAGAGGGGGAUAACUAGUCGAAAGAUUAGCUAAUACCGCAUAAGACCACAAGAACUGAGGUUCAAGGGGUCAAAGGUUUUUCGCUUCAAGAUGAGUCCGCGUAAGAUUAGCUAGUUGGUGAGGUAAUGGCUCACCAAGGCAACGAUCUUUAACUGGUCUGAGAGGAUGAUCAGUCACACUGGAACUGAGACACGGUCCAGACUCCUACGGGAGGCAGCAGUAGGGAAUAUUGCACAAUGGAGGAAACUCUGAUGCAGCGACGCCGCGUGAGUGAUGAAGGCCUUCGGGUCGUAAAGCUCUGUCGCAGGGGAAUAACACAAUGAAUGUACCCUGUAAGAAAGGAUCGGCUAACUUCGUGCCAGCAGCCGCGGUAAGACGAGGGAUCCUAGCGUUGUUCGGAAUCAUUGGGCGUAAAGCGGGUGUAGGUGGCUUUGUAAGUCAGGUGUGAAAGCCUAGGGCUCAACCCUAGAAGUGCAUUUGAUACUGCGAAGCUUGAGUGCUAGAGAGGUUACUAGAAUUGUUGGUGUAGUGGUGAAAUACGUAGAUAUCAACAGGAAUACCGGUGGCGAAGGCGGGUAACUGGCUAGACACUGACACUCAGACCCGAAAGCGUGGGGAUCAAACAGGAUUAGAUACCCUGGUAGUCCACGCCGUAAACGAUGGAUACUUGUUGUUGGAGGUAUUGACCCCUUCAGUGACG
rnacentral:rRNA from 4 species